rnacentral:rRNA from 1 species
UAAGUAAAGCUCUUUCGCAAGGGAAGAAAACUUAUGAUCGAAUAAAUCAUGAGGUUGACGGUACCUUGAUAAGAAGCACCGGCUAACUACGUGCCAGCAGCCGCGGUAAUACGUAGGGUGCGAGCGUUAAUCGGAAUUACUGGGCGUAAAGCGUGCGCAGGCGGUUUUGUAAGUCGGAUGUGAAAUCCCCGGGCUCAACCUGGGAACUGCGUUCGAAACUGCAAGGCUAGAGUGUGUCAGAGGGGGGUAGAAUUCCACGUGUAGCAGUGAAAUGCGUAGAGAUGUGGAGGAAUACCAAUGGCGAAGGCAGACCCCUGGGAUAACACUGACGCUCAUGCACGAAAGCGUGGGGAGCAAACAGGAUUAGAUACCCUGGUAGUCCACGCCCUAAACGAUGUCAACUAGUUGUUGGUAGAGUAAAAUCUAUGAGUAACGUAGCUAACGCGUGAAGUUGACCGCCUGGGGAGUACGGUCGCAAGAUUAAAACUCAAAGGAAUUGACGGGGGCCCGAACAAGCGGAGGAUUAUCUGGAUUAAUUCG